rnacentral:rRNA from 1 species
CAGGGUAGCGGCGGCGGUGAGGUGGCUUAGGUGUAGCCCUAAGGGGGUAAGGAGGAGGGUGGUUGGUGACGAGCUCGGGCUCGAGAAGCCAAGCUUCGACGGUCUUUUGGGGCGGCGGAGCUAGCUCUCGAAGGAGGGGGGAGAAGCUAGGUCUCCUCACCUCUAGGAGGAGCGAGAGGACUUCGGGGACGGAGGAGAGAGUAGGUGGUCCUUGUCACGGCGGGGAGAGGAAGGGCACGAAGUAGAGGAGAGCGGGCAGGGACUGGAGAGAGAAGGGGAAGCCUCCACGAGGCGAGCGGUACCGGGGCUCGAGGCGGCGUGGUUCAGGCAGGGGCUGAGCAGAGAUGCAACGUCGCUCGGCGGCGGACGCAGCUGGGCGACGACGAGCAGAAGUUGCUCGGCCGGUUCGGGGUCCUUGCAACCGGCGGGGACAGGGGGAGUGCCCAGGACCUAGGGACGCGGGCUAGACGAGGUUCGGGCCAGGAAGACGUCGAAAGGUUGCGGGCGGUCCGAGGGAGCGGCAGGAGAGCGACCUCAUCCGAUAGUCGUAGCGGCGAGGAGACGCGGCUUGACGUGGUUCGGCGCUUCUUGCGGCUACGGACCUCGAGGUUCAGGUGGGAACGGACUAGGUCAGCGAGGCGGAACCUAGGCCAGCCUAAGGGGAACGGAAGCGGCAGAGGACGACCAAGGCUCGCGGCGGCCUCAAGCAGGACGACGACGGAGGAGGCGUAGCCAGCGACGAAGGGGACAAAGAUCUACGCUCGUACGCUCCUGCUACUGUUCGCGGCUCAGGAGGAAGAGGUCAACUGGCGACGCGCUCCGGGUCGACGGGCCGGAGGAGGAGGUCAACCCGGUCCGGGUCCCACUCGUCGGGGGUUCACGGGGGAGGAGAACAAAAAAAAAGAGAACAACCCGGCCGGUCUAAGCCGGGUCAAGGACAAAAAAAAGUCCAGACGCUAAAACGGAAAUAGGGUCUCUCUCGUGAAAACGUCUUUUCUGGAAGUACAAGUAUGUAAAUUAUUGAGUGUUUGAUACGUAGUGUACCUUUUUGAAAUAUAUACUUUGAACAAAUCUUAAAGUAGAUCAAAUUAUUAUGGGUUGAAAGUAGAUACAAAUUUUACGAAUUCUACGACAAACAAAUUUGAACGAAUUAAUUGAACGAUUUUACUAAAUAAAGUAUUGAUUUAUUGGCAUCGAGGUUUGGAUUGUUUGAAAUAUACAUUUACCCCACCUUUUUACGGAUCAAAUUGAACCACCGGAGUGAAACGUAGAAAUUGUUGAGAUUUUAACACAUAUCCCGUCUUGGCAUUGUUUGGAUUAUAUACGUAUACCCCAAAAAGGUCUUAACAACAAGCAACGAAGGCCGGAGUAAAUUUGAACUGAUCUAUCCACCAAAAUGAAUCGAAGUGGAGAACGGUACAAUUAGUUGUAAAUUAGAACAACCCAUGUAUUUGCUCUAACUUGAUUUAUUCAGUGCACCACAAAGCAGUUAUACGUUGCCUCAACGUAUAACUCGAGGUGAAUUAAACAUCCCAACGAACACGUAAAACGGUACGGUACGGGAGAAAUUUGGCCUGUACGUAGUAUGAACAAACGCGUAGUACGGUACAGAUACACCACCAACAAAUGAUACAACAAACGAGAAAAGGCCACAACGAAGAAGCCCAACCAAGGCUAUUGCAACGUAACACUCCUAGGCAAGCUGAUGCAGGCAAACAGAAGAAGUACCUGAGCAAGAAGAAGGAACGCCCUAAAGUCGAACGUCCACGGCUACUGAGGCACGUCUACUGCGUUGGUUCGAGUCCUCCUCGAGCUACUUCUAGAACAGGAAACACAACAAAGCAAGAUCAACUAGUCAUCACCUCGGGUCAACCCCAACUAGCCCCUGGAACAGCGUAAACCCCAAGAAGAAAAUAAAACCAAGGCAUAAGCCUGGAACUAACGUAAACCUACUACAUUACGAGAUAAGUACAUAACACACUUCACCGCUAACAUUCGGUUGAUACAUAGGAAAAGGGAAUACAUAAU